rnacentral:rRNA from 1 species
GGUUAAGCGACUAAGCGUACACGGUGGAUGCCCUGGCAGUCAGAGGCGAUGAAGGACGUGCUAAUCUGCGAAAAGCGUCGGUAAGGUGAUAUGAACCGUUAUAACCGGCGAUGUCCGAAUGGGGAAACCCAGUGUGUUUCGACACACUAUCAUUAACUGAAUUCAUAGGUUAAUGAGGCGAACCGGGGGAACUGAAACAUCUAAGUACCCCGAGGAAAAGAAAUCAACCGAGAUUCCCCCAGUAGCGGCGAGCGAACGGGGAGGAGCCCAGAGCCUGAAUCAGUGUGUGUGUUA